UUCACCCACACUAUUUCCACAAGCCCCUCCAUGCAUUAAAUUUCCUCACCACUCAAAACUAUCCUUUUAACUCUUGCAUUUCCUCUCCUCCCAACUCCCACUCACAAAGCCCAAAUGGCCACCACACUUUCCGGCCCCAUGAUGAGCACCUCCUUCCUCCGCCGUCAGCAGCCGGUGGCCACCGGCUUCCGGGCCAACAUGGGUCAGGCUCUGUUCGGACUCAAACCAUCCAACAAAAACAGGGGAGGCAGAGUAACUUGCAUGGCCACGUAUAAAGUGAAGCUGCUUACACCAGAAGGGGAGAAAGAAUUUGAGUGCCCAGAUGAUGUUUACAUUUUGGACCAAGCUGAAGACAUUGGAAUUGACCUCCCAUAUUCUUGCCGGGCCGGAUCCUGCUCUUCAUGUGCAGGGAAAGUGGUGUCGGGUAAAGUUGAUCAGUCGGAUCAGAGCUUUCUUGAAGAUGAACAAAUGGAUGCUGGUUAUGUUCUUACUUGCCAUGCUUAUGCUCAGUCUGAUGUUGUUAUUGAGACCCACAAGGAGGAAGAAGUUGUUUAAUUUAAAUUUAAAUUUAAUUCAAUAAUUAUUUACAUGGAGGAUUUAGGCUUAUAGCUAGUUCCCUCCUCAUGCUGCUUGCUUUGUUUUGUUUUGUCAUGUAACUUUGUUUCAAUGGAACAAAGAGUUGAAUAAUGUUGUUUUGAUUUAGUUAUUUUCUUGAUAUUUUAGAGUUCAAUUUCGAGACUAUUUUAAAUGUACUUUUAAAAGUCAAACUUGAUAUUAUAUUUUCAAAUAUAUAUAUAUAUAUAUAUAUAUAGCAUCCAUAAAUAAUUCAGAACUCAUAAAAUGAAAAAUUCCCAAGAAGCAAGGGCAAUCUUCAUUCAUGGCUAGCUAUAUUGUAUGAAAACUUUUAGGUGGUACAUCUAAGAUGAGAUAUAUAGGGCAAAAAAAGGUAAAAUCUAACGCAUGUUCUUAUAUACACCAUGCAGUUCGUCAGUUGAAAAAAGUAAAAUCUAAUGCAUGCAUGUUCUUAAUUUUUGUUACAAAUUUCAGCUACUAUUUCAGUUUUAGACUUUGAUAUCUAUUCAAGCAAAACACAAAAACAACUUUGAAGUGAACAUAUGAUCUAAUAAAAUAUUAUUAAAAUAGCGUAUUGAAAUUUGGCUCGAGUUAUUAAAUAUGGUAUCGGAGUUCUUAAAUAUAGUAUUUCUUAACAUCGUAAAAUGUGACAUAUACGAAAUAUUUGGAUAUAAUUGAAAAAUUCAAAUAUUAUUAUUCUUUUUUAACACUAACAGUUCAAUAUUAAUUGUAAUUCAGACAUAAAAUUAAUUGUUAAUAAAUGGUUUUCCAAAAAAAUAAAUAAGAAAGGUGUAAUUGAGAGAAGCCUCAUCCGAUAAAAUAAACUCCACAGGUAGAGGAUAGAAUUUCCACACGCCACACUGUUUCCAACCAUUUCCUCUUCUUAGCACUCUCAAGUCUUUGUCUCUCCUCCCAGCUUCAACCAACAAUGGGGGCAACCAUACUCUCCGGCACCAUGAUGAGCACCACCUUCCUCCGCCGUCAGAACCCGGUAACCACCAGCCUCCGGGCCAACUUGGGUCAAGCCCAAUUCGGACUCAAAUCAUCCAACAAAAACAGGGGAGGCAGAGUAACUUGUAUGGCUGCAUACAAAGUGCAGAAUUUGAGUUCUGGACCAUUUAGAGGCAGACAUAUAGCUACAAUCCUGGAUCCAAUAGAGAUAUGAGCAUAUACAUAUAUUUUCUAUGCUCUAAAAUAUAUAUACGAAAUAUAAUAUUACUCCUCUUUAUUAUGAAAUGAAAAAACAUUAAAUUAUUAGACACAAAUUAUUUUAGUUAUUUAAAUAAAAUAUUAAUAUUUAUGUUUCGUUUAAAUAAAAAUAUAGUAUAUUUUUGUGCAAUAACAUAAUUUUUUUUAAUGAUGUUAGAUAUUAG
rnacentral:lncRNA from 1 species